AGAUUGAACGCUGGCGGCGUGCCUAACACAUGCAAGUCGAGCGGUAACAGGUGUAGCAAUACAUGCUGACGAGCGGCGGACGGGUGAGUAAUGUUUGGGAAUCUGCCUAUUAGUGGGGGACAACCCGGGGAAACUCGGGCUAAUACCGCAUAAGCUCUACGGAGGAAAGCCGGGGACCGCAAGGCCUGGCGCUAGUAGAUGAGCCCAAAUUGGAUUAGCUAGUUGGUGAGGUAACGGCUCACCAAGGCGACGAUCCAUAACUGGUUUGAGAGAACGACCAGUCACACCGGAACUGAGACACGGUCCGGACUCCUACGGGAGGCAGCAGUGGGGAAUAUUGGACAAUGGGGGGCAACCCUGAUCCAGCGACGCCGCGUGGGUGAAGAAGGCCUGCGGGUUGUAAAGCCCUUUCGGUGGGAUAAAAAGCCUUGGUUUAACACGACCAGGUCUUGAUCUAACCCAAGAAAGAAGCACCGGCUAACUCUGUGCCAGCAGCCGC
rnacentral:rRNA from 1 species